rnacentral:rRNA from 1 species
GAUGAACGCUGGCGGCGUGCCUAACACAUGCAAGUCGAACGAAGCACCUUACCUGAUUCUUCGGAUGAAAGUUUGGUGACUGAGUGGCGGACGGGUGAGUAACGCGUGGGUAACCUGCCCUGUACAGGGGGAUAACAGCUGGAAACGGCUGCUAAUACCGCAUAAGCGCACGAGGAGACAUCUCCUUGUGUGAAAAACUCCGGUGGUGCAGGAUGGGCCCGCGUCUGAUUAGCUGGUUGGCAGGGUAACGGCCUACCAAGGCAACGAUCAGUAGCCGGUCUGAGAGGAUGAACGGCCACAUUGGAACUGAGACACGGUCCAAACUCCUACGGGAGGCAGCAGUGGGGAAUAUUGCACAAUGGGGGAAACCCUGAUGCAGCAACGCCGCGUGAGUGAAGAAGUAUUUCGGUAUGUAAAGCUCUAUCAGCAGGGAAGAUAAUGACGGUACCUGACUAAGAAGCUCCGGCUAAAUACGUG